UGUAAUUAGAAAGGAGCACUUUUAAAGUGGAUUUGAUUAAAAUAAUGAUAAAGCUGUUUUUUAUGUAUUUGUAUAUAUUAUCCUCUAUCGUGUUUAAGAAGAAGAGAAUAAUGAAGCUUUUUAUGAAAUAAUAUUUGGGUUUAUUUUAUUUUAUUUUCUCCUCACAGAUUCAAAUUUACGUCAACGUCCGUUACGUUGGUGACGUCACCGCGAGCACGAGAAGUCGAAGUGAGGAGCAGAAAGCGUUGUUAGUGUUAGUGUUAGUUCUGGCCCGUUUGGACCCAAAAUAAAGUGAGUUUAUUCGGUUCUGUGUAACCAAACCCGUUCUGUGCUGUAUUGUGUGUAUGUGUGUAGUUAACGGUGUUAACACCUGUGUUUCAGGUGUAUCAGUAUGAAGCAGGCGGUGACGGCGCACUGAUUCACUCUCGGAGCUCGGUUCACUAAUGACCGAAUCACUGAGGAACCGACCAAAGAUAUCUCACACCCGCACGGAGAAGAAGAACAAGAGGAGAAGAAUACGAUCUGCAGAUCACUGAUAGGAACCAGGUUCUGCUGGUCAGUCACGUUAGGAGGUUGGGUCCUGCAGCAGCUCCUCCACCAGGACCUGUCUUACUCAUCCCGGAGUUCUGCUACCUCACAGGUCUCCCGCACAGAGCGGGAGAAACACAGCGCUUAAUCAUUGUCUGCUUCUUAUCGCACUAAUUGUUGUAACUUGCUCAGGUCUGACUGAUAAGAUGCGCACGACUUUAACAUCAUGAAGGACCUUUCCACUCACACCAGACUGACCCCAGAACAGUGGGAGAACCGCCUCAACAGAUUCAUCAACAACAUGAGCAGGAAUGCCAGUGUUCAGACUACACUCAGCACAUGGGGUCUAAGCUUUGAGAACAAGCUGCUGAAUCUGACUGGAAGAGUUCUUCCUGCUGAGAGGAUCCUACAGGGAGCGAGAGCAGUAAGGGGGACCACAGAACACAGAGAACACAGAACUGUACACAACACGUGUCGCACUCUUGCUGAGUAGAGUUUGUGUGUGUGCGCGCAGUACGAGCGCAGUGCGCGCAGUACUUCAGCAAGACUUUAACGCGAACACGCUUUAAACCGGUAUUUCCCGUCGCAGCACACGCACAGGUUUGUUUAAGAUUAGCACGCGCACACUUAUAAUAUUGUCACUACAGAUCCCAUGGAAAUGAAUGCUACUUUUAAAUGGUUUUACUCUUCAACUUAUAAAUCUGAAUUUCCUGCAGACGAUACUAAAGUGAAUGCAUUUCUUCAAGACCUUUGUAACCCUGUUAUUGAUUUGAAUACUGCCAUGCAACUGGACUCCCCACUCUCUCUUGAAGAAAUUUGAAAUUCAGUUAAAACUAUGCAAUCUAACAAAGCUCCUGGCCCGGACGGGUUUCCAGUUGAAUUUUUUAAAACGUUUAUUGGAAAAUUAGCUCCAUUGCUUUUAUCUGUGUUCAACGAAUCUUUGGAAUGUGGGUCUUUGCCUCCAACUCUGACACAAGCCACUAUAGCUCUCCUUCUUAAGGAGGGUAAGGAUCCGUCCUCCUGUGGUUCUUAUAGGCCGCUGUCUCUGCUUAAUGCAGAUGUAAAGGUGUUGGUGAAAGUAAUGGCAUCUCGUUUAGAGGACGUUAUCCCUUAUAUCUGAAGAGCAAACCGGUUUUAUAAAGGGACAUCAGUUGUUUUUCAAUACCCGUACGCUCUUUAAAUUAUUCAAAGCAUUCGGCUGAGAUUGGGAUUUCUUUAGAUGCUGAAAAAGCAUUUGACAGGGUUGAGU